CGGGGUGAGUAAUGUCUGGGAAACUGCCUGAUGGAGGGGGGUAACUGCUGGAACGGUAGCUAAUACCGCAUAACGUCGCAAGACCAAAGAGGGGGACCUUCGGGCCUCUUGCCAUCGGAUGUGCCCAGAUGGGAUUAGCUAGUAGGUGGGGUAACGGCUCACCUAGGCGACGAUCCCUAGCUGGUCUGAGAGGAUGACCAGCCACACUGGAACUGAGACACGGUCCAG
rnacentral:rRNA from 1 species